rnacentral:rRNA from 1 species
AUUGAACGCUGGCGGCAUGCUUUACACAUGCAAGUCGAACGGCAGCGCGGGCUUCGGCCUGGCGGCGAGUGGCGAACGGGUGAGUAAUGCAUCGGAAAGUGCCCAGUAGUGGGGGAUAGCCCGGCGAAAGCCGGAUUAAUACCGCAUACGACCUGAGGGUGAAAGCGGGGGACCGAAAGGCCUCGCGCUAUUGGAGCGGCCGAUGUCGGAUUAGCUAGUUGGUGGGGUAAAGGCUUACCAAGGCGACGAUCCGUAGCUGGUCUGAGAGGACGACCAGCCACACUGGGACUGAGACACGGCCCAGACUCCUACGGGAGGCAGCAGUGGGGAAUUUUGGACAAUGGGGGCAACCCUGAUCCAGCCAUGCCGCGUGAGGGAAGAAGGCCUUCGGGUUGUAAACCGCUUUUGUUCGGGAAGAAAUCCUCUGGGCUAAUACCCCGGGGGGAUGACGGUACCGGAAGAAUAAGCACCGGCUAACUACGUG